GGGGAUAUCUAUCAGAGAGCCCGCUGCCCAACCUAAGAGAUCAUCACCAACAACCGUCCCAGCUGGUCAGCCGAGAGAACCCACCCUAUUGAGGCAAUUUAAUCCAUUCGGCGAUGAACCCAUUCCAUUUAACCAGCGGAGGAUAGGAGAGCCCCAGCUGCUACUGGAGAAGAAGAGGAGAAUAAGACUAUUUUCACUGAAGAAACCAUCAGUGGCAUAGACGUGAUGGUUGAAACCUACAAAAAAGACGCCGCUGAGGUGUCACCAUGAACUUUGGAGAAAACAACUAUUGGGGCAACUAAAGAAAAGCCUAUCAGAUACAUCCCUCAGACGCCUAAGGAUGCGACACCAGCAAAAUCUUUGACUCUGUUCUCUACAAAAUUUGACCGAACAAAAUAAUUAAAGAGAAGGAGGAUGAAGAGGAAAAGGAAGAGGUAUUGAAGGAACAAUAAGCUCGGUUUCUCACUAAAGUAGAGAGACUUGAAAAGGAGCGGCAGUGCGACCGGAAGAAGCAAAAGACGAUGAAGUUUUUAGUGAAACUAUUAAAGUGGUGAAAGCCGCUGACCGAACUCCACUUGUGAUACAAAGGAUAUUUCCAAACUGCGAAAGCAGAGAUGAAACAAAUGGAGUACGAAGCAGCAUGAAAAAUGGUUGUAUAAAAGGAAACCACCCAGAGCCAUUAAUUGAGCCUGAGGAAAACAAAUUUGAAGAGCUAGUGGAAAUCAGCUUAACUGAAUCUGCGCGAUAGUCUUCCGCACCUGCUGAGGCAAGCACUUCUGCACCUUGAAUGGCGUUUGAAUCAUUAGGGAAACGACUGGAUGACCUUGAUGAGCUGCUGACCAGCCAUUUCGUGUACAAAAAAUUCAUGACAAUAAAACACGUAGAGGGAACUAGUUGGCCACUGUAAAUCAGAAGACCGUUGCAAUAGAAACCAAUACCGCUCAUAUUCUACAUUUGGCUCCUUCCAAAGAUGCUAGAGUGACCAAACUAGAAACCAAGGCUGUCGUGAUGGGAUGAUGCUGGAAAACGUGAUGCAUGGGCCGAACGAUCUACUAAAUAGUAAUGCAGUGUUGAUCAGCCAGAAUGCCAUUUUGAUAGAGCUGAACAUGGAUUUGGUCAAGCAUGAAAAGAAGAUUGAAGAGAAAUUGUAACGGCUUCUUGAUGGUUUUGGAAAACUGGGACGUGAAGUAUUUGAUGAUUAAGUGUAAUAUAGAAGUGGGAGUCCUUUCCCCAAUACGAGUGUUGAUUUUUGUAAUAAUGGUGGGCCUAUACAUAAAUUUUUUAUGAUCAAUGACACGACUGCUUUUGGUAACAA